rnacentral:rRNA from 1 species
GAACGGCAGCACGGGUACUUGUACCUGGUGGCGAGUGGCGAACGGGUGAGUAAUACAUCGGAACGUACCUUAUCGUGGGGGAUAACGCAGCGAAAGCUGUGCUAAUACCGCAUACGCCCUGAGGGGGAAAGCGGGGGAUCGAAAGACCUCGCGCGAUUAGAGCGGCCGAUGCCUGAUUAGCUUGUUGGUGGGGUAAAAGCCCACCAAGGCGACGAUCAGUAGCUGGUCUGAGAGGACGAUCAGCCACACUGGGACUGAGACACGGCCCAGACUCCUACGGGAGGCAGCAGUGGGGAAUUUUGGACAAUGGGGGCAACCCUGAUCCAGCAAUGCCGCGUGAGUGAAGAAGGCCUUCGGGUUGUAAAGCUCUUUUGUCAGGGAAGAAACACCGGCUCUAACACAGUCCGGGAAUGACGGUACCUGAAGAAUAAGCACCGGCUAACUACGUGCCAGCAGCCGCGGUAAUACGUAGGGUGCAAGCGUUUAUCGGAAUUACUGGGCGUAAAGCGUGCGCAGGCGGUUAUACAAGACAGGCGUGAAAUCCCCGG